CCUCAGUUACUUUUUCUCCACGUAUUACUGUUUUUGUGGCAGUAAUGCUUCCUGCACAUAUCCCAUAAAACCGGACGGUAAAAUCUGUUAGCCUCUGAUUAGCCUUUCUCCUCCGGCUGCUGUUUCCGCGUUUCCAUCAAAUAAUGAAAGGUGUCUCCUUGUGUUGGACACCAGGGGGCACAGUCCGUGUCUUACACAGAAUUACGGACACGAAGCAAAACGAAAGGCAUUUUGGAAACUAAGACCGCCAAGAGACAUUUUGACGAGUCUAAAAACGACAGUUAAGUUCGCGUUUUUAAGGUAAUAUUGAUGCUAGUAGCAGCGAAGCUAAGGAACACCUAGCUAGCUAACUAGCAGGUGCACUCGUCUGAACGUACUUUUUCAAGAUGUUUGGUUUGAGCAGCGAACUGGAUUUUAGACGUUUUUAAGCAGCCAGAAGAGGGAAAGACCAAGAAACACAUGAUUUAAGAAAAAUGCAUGGAUAGAUUUGAUGGUUCACUAGCAUGUGGCAGUCUCUGUCAUGUUACUCUGGCUGAGGAUCAAACAAGGAG
ensembl:lncRNA